GACGAACGCUGGCGGCGUGCUUAACACAUGCAAGUCGAGCGGUAAGGCCCUUUCGGGGGUACGACGAGCGGCGAACGGGUGAGUAACACGUGGGUGACCUGCCCUUACGCUCUGGGAUAAGCCUGGGAAACUGGGUCUAAUACCGGAUAUGACUCCAUGACGCAUGUUGUGGGGUGGAAAGCCUUGUGCGGCUAGGGAUGGGCCCGCGGCCUAUCAGCUUGUUGGUGGGGUGAUGGCCACCAAGGCGACGACGGGUAGCCGGCCUGAGAGGGCGACCGGCCACACUGGGACUGAGACACGGCCCACGACUCCUACGGGAGGGCAGCGAGUGGGGAAUCUUGCGCAAUGGGCG
rnacentral:rRNA from 1 species